rnacentral:rRNA from 1 species
UACGUAGGAUGCAAGCGUUGUCCGGAAUUAUUGGGCGUAAAGAGCGCGCAGGCGGUGUAUCAAGUCAGAUGUGAAAGAGGCCGGCCUAACCGGCAAGGGUCAUUUGAAACUGAUAGACUAGAGUGCAGCAGAGGAUAGUGGAAUUCCCGGUGUAGUGGUGAAAUGCGUAGAUAUCGGGAGGAACACCAGUGGCGAAGGCGACUAUCUGGGCUGCAACUGACGCUGAGGCGCGAAGGCUAGGGUAGCAAACAGG